ensembl:lncRNA
AUGAAAAUAACGAUGUAUUUAAUGAAUGUACAGAAAACGACUUGUUCGAAUAUAAAGGAAAAAAAAUUAUGUUUUUGUAACAUAUUUAAUCAUACUAGUAACAAUAAUUGUAUAUAUCCGUUUUGUGAUAGACAUAAAUCUUUUUGUUACAUUAAUGAAGAAUGUGUACAUGGUAAAUGUGUUUGUAUUAGUGGGUAUGUAAGAAAUCCGAUAAGUAAUAUAUGUGAAAAAUUUAAUGAAUGUAUUACAAAUAAAAAAUCUAUAUGUAAAGAACCUGGAACUUGUGCUUCAUUAAACAACCGUUAUGUUUGUUUAUGUCCACAUCCAUAUAUUCGAGUUUUUAAAAACUGCUUACACCCUUUAACUGCUAUACUAAUUAAACUUCAUAUUUUUAUCGAUGGACAACGUAAUAUAUCUAUAUAUGAAGAAAAUGCUUAUAAAAGAAUAACCUUUUAUACCAAAGUCUUUGGAUCUGUUUGUGAAUAUAUUAAAGCCGUUAUGGAUUACAUUGUCAAGACUGAUAUGGAAUCACGAAUAGAUGUAAAACCGAUAGAAAAAACGAAAAACACCAUCACAGCAAAUAUCAUAAUACAUCAAGGAAAUAACCCUAAUGAACUUACACCAGUAGAAAUUUUUAAUAUUUUUUUAAAACAGUUAAUUGAUUCAACAUCCCCAUUAAAUAAUGGAUUUUACUCAUAUUUUUCAAGAUAUACAUACAUAGAAUAUGUAAAAGCUUUUUCAGAAAGUGAAGAAACACCAUCGUUUUAUGAAUUGUUCUUAAAUCAUAUACCUAUGUUUUUUAUGAAGAAAAUUAAUGAAGAUUUUGGUAAAAGUGCAUUUAUGGUUGAUUUUUUACAUUUUAUUGUACUUACUUGUUUCGUUCUUUUUUUAAUUCUUUCUGUUUCGAUUUUGGUUUUUUGUGUUAUAUACUUGUUAGUAAAACUUAAAACGUUUCAUAAAAAUAUGAGAAAAAUAUAUUAACCAAGGAAGUAAACGAGAGGAGGAAAUCUUAAGGGUAAAACCGAAUAUUAAAAAAAUAAAAAAAAAAAAAAAAAAAAAAAAAAAAAAAAA